rnacentral:rRNA from 1 species
ACCGAAUAGAUACCCCGGUAGUCCAUGCCCUAAACGAUGUUCACUAGGUGUCGGGGAUUUUUCUUCGGUGCCGCAGCUAAACGCAUUAAAGUGAACCGCCUGGGGACUACGGCCGCAAGGUUGAAACUCAAAGGAAUUGGCGGGGGCCCGCACAAGCGGUGGAGCAUGUGGCUUAAUUCGAUGCAACGCGAAGAACCUUACCAGGGUUUGACAUGUAACUGCAAGCUCCCGAAAUGGAGUCGCUUUCGAAGGUGUUACACAGGUGGUGCAUGGCUGUCGUCAGCUCGUGUUGUGAAAUGUUGGGUUAAGUCCCGCAACGAGCGCAACCCUCAUGUUCUGUUGCCAGCGGGUAAUGCCGGGAACUCGGAACAAACUGCCUCUGUAAAGAGGAGGAAGGUGGGGAUGACGUCAAGUCUUCAUGCCCCUUACACCCUGGGCUGCACACAUGCUACAAUGGCCGGUACAAAGAGCAGCGACAUCGCGAGGUAGAGCAAAUCUCAAAAAGCCGGUCUCAGUUCGGAUUGGAGUCUGCAACUC